GAGGCCGGGAGCUUGCUGCAACUCACAGAGCCGGGCACACAGAAGACUUCACCUCCUAGUCUGCUUAGAGUUAGGCCGGGUCACAUGACUAGCUGUAGACCAGGAGGUGGAGUACAUGCGACACGCAUCACUUUGGGCUGACACGGUGAACCGCUCCUUUCCAGUUCUCUCUGCUCCUCUGUUCCUCUGUUGCAGCCUCUGAAGAGACACUGAGAUCAUAAGAGCACACUGAGUCACUGAGUCACCACGCGGAGGACAGUCACUCUGGUUCCUCAUGCUGCUUUCUUUUCACAUUGAGUUCCGUUGCCAGAGAAGUUUUGGUUCCUAGCCGGCUUGAGGUCAUCUGAGGACAAGGUUUCCACCUGCUGAGCAUGCUCCAGCUACAUGACUUGCAGGUUUUGCCCCUGCAAGAUAACUUUGAUAUUUUGUUAUCGAUACAAUGGGAUAUAAUAGGGCCAGUCCAAACUGGUCCAUGUUGGUUACACACGGAUUUGAGAGAUAUCAAGGAAAUGGAAUUCACAGAUGAUGGAGG
rnacentral:lncRNA from 1 species